CACGUAGGGCGCGAGCGUUGUCCGGAAUUAUUGGGCGUAAAGAGCUCGUAGGCGGUUUGUCGCGUCUGCUGUGAAAACUCAGGGCUUAACCCUGAGCCUGCAGUGGGUACGGGCAGACUAGAGUGUGGUAGGGGAGAUCGGAAUUCCUGGUGUAGCGGUGGAAUGCGCAGAUAUCAGGAGGAACACCGGUGGCGAAGGCGGAUCUCUGGGCCAAUAACUGACGCUGGAGGAGCGAAAGCAUGGGGAGCGAACAGGA
rnacentral:rRNA from 1 species